rnacentral:lncRNA from 1 species
UACUCUCUUCAGAGUUAUUCCAAUUAUUUUAUUAAUCUAAUUAAUUGUAUUUUUUUUCAUCCAAGAAGUUUGACCCCCCUCUAAUUUUUUUUUUCAUUUUAUUUUGGGGACUUAAUAGUAAAUUGUAAUGCGUCUCACAACUGAGAAAAUUUUAUUUUUUUUGGGGGGUCAUUUCGGUUUUGGAUCUGGGAAGAAUGGGUU